rnacentral:rRNA from 1 species
CCUACGGUAGGCAGCAGUGAGGAAUAUUGGUCAAUGGACGAGAGUCUGAACCAGCCAAGUAGCGUGAAGGAUGACUGCCCUAUGGGUUGGAAACUUCUUUUAUAAAGGAAUAAAACGAGGCACGUGUGCCUUUUUGCAUGUACUUUAUGAAUAAGCAUCGGAUAACUCUGCGCCAGCAGCGGCGGUAAUACGGAGGAUCCGAGCGUUAUCCGGAUUUAGUGGGUUUAAAGGGAGCGUAGGUGGGUUGUUAAGUGAGUUGUGAAAGUUUCCGGCUCAACCGUAAAAUUGCAAUUGAUACUGGCAGUCUUGAGUACAGUUGAGGUAGGCGGAAUUCGUGGUGUAGCGGUGAAAUGCGUAGAUAUCACGAAGAACCCCGAUUGCGAAGGCAGCUUACUAAACUGUGACUGACAUUGAGGCUCGAAAGUGUGGGUAGCAAACAGGAUUAGAUACCCCAGUAGUC